GCCGGUGUGGCUCAGUGGAUGGAGCGUCGGCCUGCAGACUGAAGAGUUCCAGGUUCGAUUCCGGUCAAGGGCA
rnacentral:tRNA from 1 species